AAUCAUCAAAACAGCUGCUUCCAUUAUGGCCUGGCAAGGUUAUGUCUAAAGACCCUGGUCAUUCGGUCACAUCCAACAGCUUCCCCUAUGAUAGACCACAGCUGAGAGCUGGAGAUGUCAUACAAAGUCCUCCCAAACAGUUAGAAUGGAGGCGAAGAUGACACAGUGAUUGAAAUCUGUGCUUCAUCUGAAAUAAAUUCUCUUCUGCCUUCA
rnacentral:lncRNA from 1 species